GACAUAAGUUGCCGGAAUUGAUCCUUUCGUAAGACACUUAUAGAAGCCUUUGCACUCCAUAUAGGACAGGUUCCACGACUAUAAAUAUAGGUUCCGCUGCAAGUCAAACUUGUGUUUGGCAACACAACUAAAUUACGGGAAUGACCAAGACAAGUUUCUAGGUCAAUCCGAAGCGCUUUACGGCGUUCACAGACUAAAUGGUUGUGGGUUUAAUCAUUGUAUUAAGCUUAAGAUAUAGCCGGGCUACGUGCGCGAGCACGCGGAAUUCGCUAUCUGAAAUGCCCGCUCAUUCUAGCGAAAUCAAACUGUUCCGUAGGUGAACCUGCGGAAGGAUCAUU
rnacentral:rRNA from 1 species